CAGUCGUACCUUCGGGUAAUCAGCCUUUCGGGUGCGAUUCUGUGGAGUUUGAGGAGCUUAACACCUUCAUGCUUUGCAUAUUCGUGCUCUUGGGUGUACUUGCUCGUAUGGUUGGUUAACAUCAAUUUUGGUGGUCAUAAAAUGACUGGAGGAAUGUAGCUUCGAUCUCGUAUUGAAGUGUUAUAGCCUUCGGUAGAUGUGAUGACUGAGAUUGAGGAUUACAACGGAUACCCUUCGGGGCUACCUGUCCUGAUCUCUGAUCGUUGCUC
rnacentral:rRNA from 1 species